rnacentral:rRNA from 1 species
GAUGAACGCUGGCGGUAUGCUUAACACAUGCAAGUCGAACGGUCACUUCGGUGAUAGUGGCGGACGGGUGAGUAACGCGUGAGAAUCUGUCUUCAGGUCGGGGACAACAGUUAGAAAUGACUGCUAAUACCGGAUGUGCCGAAAGGUGAAAGAUUUAUUGCCUGAAAGAGAGCUCGCGUCAGAUUAGCUAGUAGGUGGUGUAAGAGACUACCUAGGCGACGAUCUGUAGUUGGUCUGAGAGGACGAUCAGCCACACUGGAACUGAGACACGGUCCAGACUCCUACGGGAGGCAGCAGUGGGGAAUUUUCCGCAAUGGGCGAAAGCCUGACGGAGCAAUACCGCGUGAGGGACGAAGGCUUUUGGGUCGUAAACCUCUUUUCUCAAGGAAGACACAGGACGGUACUUGAGGAAUAAGCAUCGGCUAACUCUGUGCCAGCAGCCGCGGUAAU